UCUAACAAUUAUCUUUUUCUUUAAAUUUAUAGAUUUUAUUUUUCUUUCUAACUUAAGGGUUGUUUUUAAUUUUUUUUGUUAUGUUAUUGUGUAGGUGUUGUGUUAUUAGUUUUAUUGGUGUUUUCUAAUUCAUAAUUAUGAUUUAUUUUAGGUGCAUGAGUUGGUGUAGAGAAUUGGAUUGAAGAAAUAUAUUCAUUUUAUAUUUUUUUCGUAAUUUUAUUAUUGUUUUCUAAUUUUAAAUUUUAUAUAUUUUCUUUUUUUAUAUAGAUGCAUACUUUGAAGCAUCACAAAAUGAUAUUGUUGAAAUUGAGUUGUAAGAGAGAAUAUUUUAGUUUAAUUGAUUUAUUUUUUGAUAUAUUUAUGUAAAAUGAAU
rnacentral:lncRNA from 1 species